rnacentral:sRNA from 20 species
AGUUGAUGCACACGGUGGCUUUUCCUCCCAGUUCCACCGCAUCAGCUGUUCCCCUCUGGAGGUUUUUGACCUUCACACUUAAAGGGCCCUGGAUCUAUCCGGCGGCCCUCUUUU